rnacentral:rRNA from 2 species
CCAGUUGAGGUUAGUCGGAAAUCAGUGAUGUAUUCGUCGAAAUGCUUAGAUAUCACGAAGAACUCCUGAUCGCUGAAGGCAGCCCACUCUACUGCCCCUCACAUUCAUGCUCAAAUGAGUGGGUAUCAAUCACGAUCAGAUUUCUUGGUAGUCCACACGCUCCUCGAUGAAUACUCGCUGUUUGCGAUAUCCUGCAAGCGGCCAAGGGAAAGCGUUAUGUAUUCCACUUGGGGAGUAGGCCGGCAACGGUGCACCUCAAAGGAAUUGACGGGUGUCCGCACAAGCGGAGGACCAUGUGUUUUAAUUCGAUUAUACUCGAGGUCCGUUUUUGGGUCUUGCUUUGGAUUCGGGUUUGGUGGAGGCUUUAUAGCUGGCAGUCGCGGGUGUGCAUGGUCUUAGCUUGCUAAGGCCGAUGGCGACCGGCGCACGGGUGAGUAACACGUAUCCAACCUGCCUUAUACUCCCGGACAGCCAUUCUGAAAGGAAGAUUAAUACGGGAUGGCAUCACGAGCCAGCAUUUUCUCGUGAUUAAAGAACUUCGGUAUAAGAUGGGGAUGCGUUCCAUUAGAUAGUAGGCGGGGUAACGGCCCACCUAGUCGACGAUGGAUAGGGGUUCUGAGAGGAAGGUCCCCCACAUUGGAACUGAGACACGGUCCAAACUCCUACGGGAGGCAGCAGUGAGGAAUAUUGGUCAAUGGGCGCGAGCCUGAACCAGCCAAGUAGCGUGAAGGAUGACUGCCCUACGGGUUGUAAACUUCUUUUAUAAAGGAAUAAAGUGAGGCACGUGUGCCUUUUUGUAUGUACUUUAUGAAUAGAUGAUCGGGUCUCUGUGUUCCCGGGUCCGCGUUAAUUCUGCUGCUCCGAGCUUUGUCCGUGUUUUUUGGGUUUAGAUGGAGUGUGGUUGGUUUGUUAUGUGAUUUGUUCGUGUUUUCUGCUCAUUUGUCCGGUUGCACUUGGUUUUGGUAGGUUUGUGUACUGUUGCUGUAGGCGGAAUUCGUGGUGUAGCGGUGAAAUGCUUAGAUAUCACGAAGAACUCCGAUUGCGAAGGCAGCCUACUAAACUGCCACUGACAUUGAUGCUCGAAAGUGUGGGUAUCAAACAGGAUUAGAUACCCUGGUAGUCCACACGGUAAACGAUGAAUACUCGCUGUUUGCGAUAUACUGCAAGCGGCCAAGCGAAAGCGUUAAGUAUCCACCUGGAGUGCGCGCG